rnacentral:rRNA from 1 species
GACGGAGGGUGCUAGCGUUGUUCGGAAUGACUGGGCGUAAAGGGUGCGUAGGCGGUUUUGUAAGUCAGAUGUGAAAUCCCCGGGCUUAACCCUGGAAUGGCAUAUGAUACUGCGAGACUAGAGACUGGAAGAGGAAAGCGGAAUUCCUAGUGUAGAGGUGAAAUUCGUAGAUAUUAGGAGGAACACCAGAGGCGAAGGCGCUUUCUGGUCCAGAUCUGACGCUGAGGCACGAAAGCGUGGGGAGCAAACAGG